rnacentral:rRNA from 1 species
AUGGGCGAGCAAGUAGCCACCAAGGUCCAUCUUCUCCAAAUUAACCCUAUCCUGCAGGAGGAGGCCAACAACAAGGAAGAAUCACCCGCACCCGCCGCCGCCGCACCUGAAGCUGCACCGGCAGAGGAGAAGAAGGACCAAGCAGCACCACCACCAGCCGACCAAGACGCAAACAAGGAGGAACCACCAGCCGAAGCUGCUCCUCCUCCACCGCCGGUGCCGGUGCCGGUGCCGGUGAUCCUGGGCGUGGAGGUGCACUGCACGGGCUGCGCCAAGCGGAUCAGGCGCUCCCUCCUCCGCUGCAAGGGCGUGGAGUCCGUCCACGUCGACAUGCCCGCCAACCAGGUCACCAUCAAGGGCGCCGUCGACCCGCAGGCGCUCUGCGACCGCCUCCGCGCCAAGACCAAGCGCGACGCCACCCUCAUCUCGCCCUUACCGCCACCUCCGCCGGCCGAGGGCGAGGAGCCUGCGCCACCCCCUCCCCCGCCGGCGCCGCUGGUCACCGAGGCCCGCACCGUGGAGCUGCUCGUCAACAUGCACUGCGAGGCCUGCGCCCAGCAGCUGCAGACCAAGAUGAUGAGGAUGAAGGGGGUGGUCAGCGCCCAGACGGACCUCGCCGCCGGCAGGCUCACGCUCAGUACCACCGUGGACGAUGAGAAGAUUGUGGAGUACAUCCACCGACGGACCGGGAAGAUCGCCUCCGUCGUGCCGCCGCCGCCUCCGGAGCCGCCCAAGGAGGAGGAGCCACCCGCUGCUGCUGCGGAGCCCAGCAAGGAGGAAGCACCAGCCGACGCCGACGGCAAGAAAGAAGAGGCCGGCGAGAACAAGCCGGCUGAAGACGGCAAAGCUGCUGCAGAGGCCGAGGAGGAGAAGAAGGAAGGUGGUGGUGGCGCCGGCGAAGAUGACCAGAAGCCGGGGAAACAAGAAGGCGUGGCGGUGGACGGCUUCCCGCCGGAGGAGAUGAUGAAGCGGAUGGUGUACUGGCCCUACGGCGGCGCACCCGGCGGCGGCAUCCACUACAAGCUGCAUCCGGCCGACGCCGAGGAGGCCAUGAUGGCCAGGCGGAUGGCCAUGCACGCCAUGCCUCCACCUACUCUGAUGCCGCCGCCGCCGCACCACCACCACCACAACCCCUACGCCAUGAUGCACCAGCAGUGGGCGCCUCCACCGCCGCCGCCACCUCCGGGGAUGCCGAUGUACAACAACUACAACUACGGCAGCAGCUACAUGAUGGAGCGGCCGCCGCAGAUGUUCAGCGACGAGAACCCCAACGCCUGCGUCAUCUCCUAG